AUACGUAGGGGGCAAGCGUUAUCCGGAUUUACUGGGUGUAAAGGGAGCGUAGACGGUUCUGCAAGUCUGGAGUGAAAGCCCGGGGCUCAACCCCGGGACUGCUUUGGAAACUGUGGAACUGGAGUGCAGGAGAGGUAAGUGGAAUUCCUAGUGUAGCGGUGAAAUGCGUAGAUAUUAGGAGGAACACCAGUGGCGAAGGCGGCUUACUGGACUGUAACUGACACUGAGGAGCGAAAGCGUGGGGAGC
rnacentral:rRNA from 1 species